rnacentral:rRNA from 1 species
UACGUAGGGCGCAAGCGUUGUCCGGAAUUAUUGGGCGUAAAGAGCUCGUAGGCGGCCUGUUGCGUCCGCUGUGAAAUCCCGGGGCUCAACCCCGGGCCUGCAGUGGAUACGGGCUGGCUAGAGGCAGGCAGGGGAGAACGGAAUUCCUGGUGUAGCGGUGAAAUGCGCAGAUAUCAGGAGGAACACCGGUGGCGAAGGCGGUUCUCUGGGCCGAUACUGACGCUGAGGCGCGAAAGCGUGGGGAGCAAACAGG